UACGUAGGUGGCAAGCGUUAUCCGGAAUUAUUGGGCGUAAAGCGCGCGCAGGCGGUUUCUUAAGUCUGAUGUGAAAGCCCACGGCUCAACCGUGGAGGGUCAUUGGAAACUGGGGAACUUGAGUGCGGAAGAGAAAAGCGGAAUUCCACGUGUAGCGGUGAAAUGCGUAGAGAUGUGGAGGAACACCAGUGGCGAAGGCGGCUUUUUGGUCUGUAACUGACGCUGAGGCGCGAAAGCGUGGGGAGCAAACAGG
rnacentral:rRNA from 1 species